CACAGACGCGCAUGAAAUUUGGUAAUCAGGCUGCUCCUCGCCAGGCCGAGCUGGGUCCCAAUUCUUCCUCAGCCUCCGCUCCUCCACCCUAUAAUCUUUGUAUCACCUCCCCUCACACCUGGUCCGGCUUACAGUUUCGGCCCGUGACUAGCCCUCCCCCACCUGCCCAGCAAUUUACUUUUAAAACGGUGGCUGGCGCCAAAGGCAUAGUCAAGGUUAAUGCUCCUUUUUCUUUAUCCCAAAUCAGAAGCGUUUAGGUUCUUUUUCAUCAAAUAUAAAAAUCCAGCCCAGUUCAUAACUUGUUUGGUAGCAACCCUGAGACACUUUACAGCCCUAGACCCUAAAACGUCAAAAGGCCGUCUUAUUCUUAAAAUACAUUUUAUUACCCAAUCUGCUCCCGACAUUAAAUAAAACUCCAAAAAUUAAAUUCCAGCCCUCAAACCCCACAACAGGAUUUAAUUAACCUCGCCUUCAAGGUGUAGAAUAAUAGAAAAAAGUUGCAAUUCCUUACCUUCACUGUGAGACAAACCCCAGCCACAUCUCCAGCACACGAGAACUUCCAAACGCCUGAACCGCAGCGGCCAGGUGUUCCUCCAGAACCUCCUCCCACAGGAGCUUGCUACACGUGCCGGAAAUCUGGCCACUGGGCCAAGGAAUGCCCGCUGCCCGGGAUUCCUCCUAAGCCGCGUCCCAUCUGUGUGGGACCCCACUGAAAAUCGGACUGUUCAACUCACCUGGCAGCCACUCCCAGAGCCCCUGGAACUCUGGCCCAAGGCUCUCUGACUGACUCCUUCCCAGAUCUUCUCGGCUUAGCGGCUGAAGACUGACACUGCCCGAUCGCCUCGGAAGCCCCCUAGACCAUCACGAACGCCGAGCUUUGGGUAACUCUCACAGUGAAAGGCCCAUCCAUCUGGCAGAGAAAGGGAUGCUCAGGACACAGAACAACCAUGUUACCUUAACAAGACUUCCGUGAGCACCAACUUUGGAUGCGGUCUACUCUCUACAGAGGUCUCUGGCAACCUCACAACCUGCAGUUCCUUGCCCUCAUGCAGCACUUCCUGAGAGGCAGAGACGUGGACUAGGAGAAACCUGAGAGACACGGUCUCGCUCUACACCUCAGGCUGGAGUGCAGUGGCACAAACACAGCUCAGUGUAAUCUUGAACUCCUGGGCUCAAGAGAUCUUCCUGCCUUAGCCUCCGGAGUAGCCAGGACUACAGGUAUGCACCACCACAUCCAGCUGAGAAUAUGCAGUCCUGCUAGGAUGUAAUGAAAAUGGUACUUUAUCUUGGUGGUAUUCCUCCAAAAAACAUACAACUCCAGGUUAACCAUGAGAAAA
rnacentral:lncRNA from 10 species